GACGAACGCUGGCGGCGUGCUUAACACAUGCAAGUCGAACGGAAAGGCCCUGCUUUUGUGGGGUGCUCGAGUGGCGAACGGGUGAGUAACACGUGAGUAACCUGCCCUUGACUUUGGGAUAACUUCAGGAAACUGGGGCUAAUACCGGAUAGGAGCUCCUGCUGCAUGGUGGGGGUUGGAAAGUUUCGGCGGUUGGGGAUGGACUCGCGGCUUAUCAGCUUGUUGGUGGGGUAGUGGCUUACCAAGGCUUUGACGGGUAGCCGGCCUGAGAGGGUGACCGGCCCCAUUGGGCUUGGGAUACGGCCCCGCCCCCUAGGGGGGGCAGCAGGGGGGAAUUUUGCAAAAUGGGCGGAAGCCUGAUGCAGCAACGCCGGGGGGGGGAUGCCGGCCUUCGGGUUGUAAACCCUUUUCCCCUUGGACGAAGCGGGGGUGGCGGUAAUGGGUAAAGAAGCACCGGCUAACUCCGU
rnacentral:rRNA from 1 species